rnacentral:misc_RNA from 1 species
AAGUCGUAACAAGGUUUCCGUAGGUGAACCUGCGGAAGGAUCAUCAAUAGUUCCAAAAAUUAUUAUACCUUCUUGUGAACUGUUUUGUUGUACGGAUGUUCAUAUGGUAUUGUUGUCAAUAGAUAAUGAUGCCGUGUGAAUGUCUAUAUGUCAUCAUUACAAACUCUUAAAAUAUAUAUAAAAGUCUAAUGCAGUUAAAGCAUGUUGUAGUAUUUUGAACCGCUAGUAAUAACGGUAAUUUAUACGCAAUUUGUCAUUAUAAACUAAUGUCAAUACAACUUGCAGCGAUGGAUCUCUAGGCUCUG